CUAUACUGUGAAACUGCGAAUGGCUCAUUAAAUCAGUUAUCGUUUAUUUGAUAGUACCUUACUACUUGGAUAACCGUGGUAAUUCUAGAGCUAAUACAUGCUAAAAACCCCGACUUCGGAAGGGGUGUAUUUAUUAGAUAAAAAACCAAUGCCCUUCGGGGCUCCUUGGUGAUUCAUGAUAACUUAACGAAUCGCAUGGCCUUGCGCCGGCGAUGGUUCAUUCAAAUUUCUGCCCUAUCAACUUUCGAUGGUAGGAUAGUGGCCUACCAUGGUAUCAACGGGUAACGGGGAAUUAGGGUUCUAUUCCGGAGAGGGAGCCUGAGAAACGGCUACCACAUCCAAGGAAGGCAGCAGGCGCGCAAAUUACCCAAUCCCGACACGGGGAGGUAGUGACAAUAAAUACUGAUACAGGGCUCUUUUGGGUCUUGUAAUUGGAAUGAGUACAAUUUAAAUACCUUAACGAGGAACAAUUGGAGGGCAAGUCUGGUGCCAGCAGCCGCGGUAAUUCCAGCUCCAAUAGCGUAUAUUAAAGUUGUUGCAGUUAAAAAGCUCGUAGUUGAACCUUGGGCCUGGCUGGCCGGUCCGCCUCACCGCGUGUACUGGUCCGGCCGGGCCUUUCCUUCUGGGGAUCCCCAUGCCCUUCACUGGGUGUGGUGGGGAACCAGGACUUUUACUUUGAAAAAAUUAGAGUGUUCAAAGCAGGCCUUUGCUCGAAUACAUUAGCAUGGAAUAAUAGAAUAGGACGUGCGGUCCUAUUUUGUUGGUUUCUAGGACCGCCGUAAUGAUUAAUAGGGAUAGUCGGGGGCAUCAGUAUUCAAUUGUCAGAGGUGAAAUUCUUGGAUUUAUUGAAGACUAACUACUGCGAAAGCAUUUGCCAAGGAUGUUUUCAUUAAUCAGUGAACGAAAGUUAGGGGAUCGAAGACGAUCAGAUACCGUCGUAGUCUUAACCGUAAACUAUGCCGACUAGGGAUCGGGCGAUGUUAUUAUUUUGACUCGCUCGGCACCUUACGAGAAAUCAAAGUCU
rnacentral:rRNA from 3 species